UCCUGGCUUAGGAUGAAACGCUAGCGGCAGGCUUAACACAUGCAAGUCGAGGGGCAGCGGGAUGUAGCAAUACAUUGCCGGCGACCGGCGGAUGGGUGCGUAACGCGUAUGCAACCUACCUUAUACAGGGGAAUAACCUUUCGAAAGGGAGACUAACACCCCAUAGUAUUGAUUUAAGGCAUCUUAGAUUAAUUAAAUAUUUAUAGGUAUAAGAUGGGCAUGCGUAUGAUUAGCUAGUUGGUAAGGUAACGGCUUACCAAGGCGACGAUCAUUAGGGGUUCUGAGAGGAAGGUCCCCCACACUGGUACUGAGACACGGACCAGACUCCUACGGGAGGCAGCAGUGAGGAAUAUUGGUCAAUGGGCGCAAGCCUGAACCAGCCAUGCCGCGUGCAGGGAAAGACGGCCUUAUGGGUUGUAAACUGCUUUUACAUAAGACUAACCGUAUAUUUGCGAAUAUACCUGAAUGUAUUAUGAGAAUAAGGAUCGGCUAACUCCGUGCCAGCCGCUGC
rnacentral:rRNA from 1 species